UAGGGAAUCUUCCCNNNUUAUAGGACGGAAGUCUGACCGAGCAACGCCGCGUGAGUGAAGAAGGUUUUCGGAUCGUAAAGCUCUGUUGUAAGAGAAGAACGAGUGUGAGAGUGGAAAGUUCACACUGUGACGGUAUCUUACCAGAAAGGGACGGCUAACUACGUGCCAGCAGCCGCGGUAAUACGUAGGUCCCGAGCGUUGUCCGGAUUUAUUGGGCGUAAAGCGAGCGCAGGCGGUUAGAUAAGUCUGAAGUUAAAGGCUGUGGCUUAACCAUAGUACGCUUUGGAAACUGUUUAACUUGAGUGCAAGAGGGGAGAGUGGAAUUCCAUGUGUAGCGGUGAAAUGCGUAGAUAUAUGGAGGAACACCGGUGGCGAAAGCGGCUCUCUGGCUUGUAACUGACGCUGAGGCUCGAAAGCGUGGGGAGCAAACAGGAUUAGAUACCCUGGUAGUCCACGCCGUAAACGAUGAGUGCUAGGUGUUAGACCCUUUCCGGGGUUUAGUGCCGCAGCUAACGCAUUAAGCACUCCGCCUGGGGAGUACGACCGCAAGGUUG
rnacentral:rRNA from 1 species